rnacentral:tRNA from 1 species
UGGCUGAGUGGUAAAGCGCUUGGCUUCUAAACAGGAGGUCCUGACUUCGAAUUUUGG